AAGUCCUUUAAGAGUAGUCCUGUGAGGCUAGCAAGGUACGGUUUUAUAGUAGCUUCCACGGGUGGAGUCUAUUUAUUUAGCGCUAUUCUUAGAGUGUAUCUUUAAGAAUAGCGCUUUUUU
rfam:Lactobacillus apodemi DSM 16634 = JCM 16172 strain DSM 16634 NODE_187, whole genome shotgun sequence.